rnacentral:rRNA from 1 species
UGCCUACGGGAGGCAGCAGUGAGGAAUAUUGGUCAAUGGGCGGAAGCCUGAACCAGCCAAGUCGCGUGAGGGAAUAAGGCCCUACGGGUCGUAAACCUCUUUUGUCGGGGAGCAAAAAGGCCUCGUGAGGCCACAAGUGAGAGUACCCGAAGAAAAAGCAUCGGCUAACUCCGUGCCAGCAGCCGCGGUAAUACGGAGGAUGCGAGCGUUAUCCGGAUUUAUUGGGUUUAAAGGGUGCGUAGGCGGACUGGAAAGUCAGCGGUAAAAUCGAGAGGCUCAACCUCUUUCCGCCGUUGAAACUGUCG